CAAACCCUAAACCCCAUUUUCUCUCAAAUUUCCUCCCUCCCAUCAAUCUAAGAUCAUCAAUCAAGGUUUGAACCCAAACUCAAACCCAUGGAUUCCUACAUCAUUUAAGGCCUAAAGGAAGCUUAAAUCCCUUCUCUCUACUUGUUUCUACAACCUUGAUCCUAUUGUCGAUUGGAGUAGUAAGCUUGAGUAGGUGAAGUUCAAGAAUUUGGGAAGU